GCUAAUGUGUCUUGGCUUAUGUGUCUUGGCUAAUGUGUCUUGGCUAAGGUGUCUUGGCUAAGGUGUCUUGGCUAAGGUGUCUUGACUAAGGUGUCUUGGCUAAUGUGUCUCGGCUAAGGUGUCUUGGUUAUUGUGUCUUGGCUAAUGUGUCUUGGCUAAGGUGUCUUGGCUAAGUGUCUUGGCUAAGGUGUCUUGGCUAAUGUGUCUCGGCUAAAGUGUCUUGGCUAAGGUGUCUUGGCUAAGGUGUCUUGGCUAAAGUGUCUUGGCUAAGGUGUCUUGGCUAAGGUGUCUUGGCUAAUGUGUCUCGGCUAAAGUGUCUUGGCUAAGGUGUAUUGGCUAAGGUGUCUUGGCUAAGGUGUCUUGGCUAAUGUGUCUCGGCUAAGGUGUUUUGGCUAAGGUGUCGUGGCUAAGGUGUCUUGGCUAAGGUGUCUUGGCUAAUGUGUCUCGGCUAAAGUGUCUUGGCUAAUGUGUCUUGGCUAAGGUGUCUUGGCUAAGGUGUCUUGGCUAAUGUGUCUCGGCUAAAGUGUCUUGGCUAAGGUGUCUUGGCUAAGGUGUCUUGGCUAAGGUGUCUUGGCUAAGGUGUCUUGGCUAAGGUGUCUUGGCUAAGGUGUCUUGGCUAA